AACGAACGCUGGCGGCAGGCUUAACACAUGCAAGUCGAGCGCCCCGCAAGGGGAGCGGCAGACGGGUGAGUAACGCGUGGGAAUCUACCCAUCACUACGGAACAACUCCGGGAAACUGGAGCUAAUACCGUAUACAUCCUUCGGGAGAAAGAUUUAUCGGUGAUGGAUGAGCCCGCGUUGGAUUAGCUAGUUGGUGGGUAAUGGCCCACCAAGGCGACGAUCCAUAGCUGGUCUGAGAGGAUGAUCAGCCACACUGGGACUGAGACACGGACCAGACUCCUACGGGAGGCAGCAGUGGGGAAUAUUGGACAAUGGGCGCAAGCCUGAUCCAGCCAUGCCGCGUGAGUGAUGAAGGCCCUAGGGUUGUAAAGCUCUUUCACCGGUGAAGAUAAUGACGGUAACCGGAGAAGAAGCCCCGGCUAACUUCGUGCCAGCCGCCGCCGUAA
rnacentral:rRNA from 1 species